UUCCUGCGGUGUUCGAAUCCCUCGAUGAUCGUUCUUAUCCUUAAUGCAAAUAAUAAGGGAGCUUGCCCCGCUGGUGGCAGCUGUCAAGCCGGCCGAGACCGGAAGGCAAAAACCACCCGGAAAGCACCCACCUUGUAUCGACAAGGUUUCAGAACGUUUAUUCGACUACGGCGCAUGCGGGAA
rnacentral:other from 1 species